rnacentral:rRNA from 1 species
AUGUCAAACAACAACCCAGUUUUCACCAGUACAUUUGUCACCAAUGACCAAGAGAAGUAUUUUAUUGAUAACAUAGUCGAUAAAUCUAUGGUUACUCGUGGUGUAAUUGACGUCUCAGGUCAAAGAAAAACGUUCAUUUGGUCGGAGGGCUCACAGGACUGGACAAUGAUCUAUGCCCAACCGAAACUUCAGUGUGAUGUCUAUGCAAUCUGUGGACCUUUCACAAUUUGCAAUGAUAACGCGCUUCCACAUUGCAAUUGCAUGGAGGGCUUCACCAUGACAUCCCCCAAGGAUUGGGAGCUAGAAGAUCGAACUGGUGGGUGCUCAAGAAAUACUCCGUUAGACUGCAUUAGCAACAAAAGCACAACUCAUACAACAGACAAGUUCUACUCUGUGCAAUGUGUUGAGUUGCCCAACAAUGCCUCAAAACUAGAAGCUGCUGCAAGCACGAGUGAGUGUGCACAAGUUUGCCUCAGUAAUUGCUCUUGCACCGCAUAUUCCUUCAACAAUGAAAGAUGCUCUAUCUGGCAUAAUGAAUUGCUCAAUAUAAGAGCGCUAGAAUGUAGUGGCACUUCAAGUUCAACUGGAGAAACUCUUCACCUUCGUGUUUCUGCUAAAGAUUUCCACAUAGUGAAAAACAACAGAAAGGAGAUUGUUAUUGGAGUUGCAACUGGUGCAGGUGUUUCUGCUCUGGGUUUAUGUGCACUUCUUAUCCUGGUAAAGAUUUGGAGAAACAAGAGUAAGAGCUCUAACCGUAUACUGGAUGGUGUUCAAGGCUGUAACAGAAUCAUUGCAUUUAGAUACACUGAUUUACAACGUGCCACGACAAAAUUCACAGAUAAGUUAGGGGCAGGCAGUUUUGGUUCUGUUUUCAAGGGGGUUUUAAAUGACUCAACUGGCAUAGCCGUGAACAGGCUUGACGGUGCUUAUCAAGGAGAGAAGCAAUUUAGAGCUGAAGUGAGCUCGAUUGGAGCUAUCCAGCACAUCAAUCUAGUUAAGCUUAUUGGUUUCUGUUGUGAGGGUUCUAAGAGGUUGCUUGUUUAUGAACACAUGCCAAAUCGCUCACUGGAUGUCCAUCUAUUUGGAAACAAGUCUAUGAUAUUGAAUUGGACAGUUAGGUAUCAGAUGGCCCUGGGAGUUGCCAGAGGGUUAGCCUACUUGCAUGAGAGUUGUCGGGACUGCAUCAUACACUGUGAUAUUAAGCCAGAAAACAUACUUCUCGAUACUUUAUUCGUUCCCAAAAUUGCAGACUUUGGGAUGGCAAAGCUUUUCAGAAGGGAUUAUAGCCGAGUACUGACUACGAUAAGAGGAACUGUAGGGUACCUUGCACCUGAAUGGAUUACUGGAGUUGCAAUUACACCAAAAGUUGAUGUCUAUAGCUAUGGGAUGAUGUUGCUGGAAAUAAUAUCUGGAAAGAGGAACUCAUGUGCACCAUGUUCUAGUGGUGGCAACCUUGAUGUUUAUUUUCCUGUGCAUGCCGCACAUAAGCUUCUUGAAGGAGACGUCGGGAGUUUGGUAGAUCAAAUGCUACAUGGUGAUGUCAAUCUGGAUGAGGCCGAACUGGCAUGCAAGGUUGCAUGUUGGUGCAUCCAAGACAAUGAGCUUGAUCGACCAACAAUGGGACAUGUAGUUCAGAUCAUCGAAGGGCUAGUUGAGAUCGGGAUGCCCCCGUUACCAAGACUGCUCGAAGCUAUGGCUGGAAGCUCGCACUCAGCUCGGUCCUAA